AUUGAACGCUAGCGGAAUGCUUUACACAUGCAAGUCGGACGGCAGCGCGUCUUUCGGGAUGGCGGCGAGUGGCGAACGGGUGAGUAAUGUAUCGGAACGUGUCUGGUAGUGGGGGAUAACUACGCGAAAGCGUGGCUAAUACCGCAUACGACCUUUGGGUGAAAGCAGGGGACCUUCGGGCCUUGCGCUAUUGGGGUGGCCGAUAUCGGAUUAGCUUGUUGGUGGGGUAAUGGCCUACCAAGGCGAUGAUCCGUAGCUGGUUUGAGAGGACGACCAGCCACACUGGGACUGAGACACGGCCCAGACUCCUACGGGAGGCAGCAGUGGGGAAUUUUGGACAAUGGGGGCAACCCUGAUCCAGCCAUUUCGCGUGUGUGAUGAAGGCCUUCGGGUUGUAAAGCUCUUUUGGUGGGGAAGAAAUCGGACGGGUUAAUACCCUGUCUGGAUGACGUACCCGC
rnacentral:rRNA from 1 species